rnacentral:misc_RNA from 1 species
CUGAAAAACUACUUUAGUUUUUGGUUCCAUCCUAUUGUUUAAUUCACCCUGUUGCUUCCACUGGAAUAAGCUCCCCAUACCUUGUGUGCGGGAGCUUUUGGUCAUAGAUGCCAGCCAGUGGGAAGACCAUUUAUAAAAAUUUGUUGAGAACCACUUUGUCUGAAUAUUUUGCUCCAAUAUAAUA